UACGGAGGGUGCAAGCGUUAUCCGGAUUCACUGGGUUUAAAGGGUGCGUAGGCGGGUCUGUAAGUCCGUGGUGAAAUCUCCAAGCUUAACUUGGAAACUGCCAUGGAUACUAUAGGUCUUGAGUACCGUGGAGGUGAGCGGAAUAUGUCAUGUAGCGGUGAAAUGCUUAGAUAUGACAUAGAACACCAAUUGCGAAGGCAGCUCACUACACGAAUAUUGACACUGAGGCACGAAAGCAUGGGGAUCAAACAGG
rnacentral:rRNA from 1 species